rnacentral:rRNA from 1 species
AUACGGUGGAUCCGAGCGUUAUCCGGAUUUAUUGGGUUUAAAGGGAGCGUAGGCGGACGCUUAAGUCAGUUGUGAAAGUUUGCGGCUCAACCGUAAAAUUGCAGUUGAUACUGGGUGUCUUGAGUACAGUAGAGGCAGGUGGAAUUCGUGGUGUAGCGGGGAAAUGCUUAGAUAUCACGAAGAACUCCGAUUGCGAAGGCAACCGGCUGGACUGUAACUGACGCUGAUGCUCGAAAGUGUGGGUAUCAAACAGGAUUAGAUUCCCUGGUAGUCCGCACAGUAAGCGAUGAAUACUCGCUGUUUGCGACACACGGUAAGCGGCCAAGCGAAAGCGUUAAGUAUUCCGCCUGGGGAGUACGCCGGCAACGGUGAAACUCAAAGGAAUUGACGGGG